rnacentral:rRNA from 1 species
CAGUAGCCGCGGGAAUACGUAGGGGGCGAGCGUUGUCCGAAGUUACUGGGCGUAAAGCGCGCGUAGGCGGCUUCUUAAGUCUGAGGUGAAAGGUUCAACGCUUAACGUGAACAGUGCCUUGGAUACUGGGGAGCUUGAGUAUGGGAGAGGGCAGUGGAAUGGCUGGUGUAGCGGUGAAAUGCGUAGAUAUCAGUCGGAACACCCAUGGCGAAGGCAGCUGCCUGGCCUAAUACUGACGCUGAGGUGCGAAAGCGUGGGGAGCGAACAGGAUUAGAUACCCGGGUAGUCCCUGUCUCUUAUA